rnacentral:rRNA from 1 species
GAUGAACGCUGGCGGCGUGCCUAAUACAUGCAAGUCGAGCGAACGGACGAGGAGCUUGCUCCUCUGACGUUAGCGGCGGACGGGUGAGUAACACGUGGAUAACCUACCUAUAAGACUGGGAUAACUUCGGGAAACCGGAGCUAAUACCGGAUAAUAUAUUGAACCGCAUGGUUCAAUAGUGAAAGACGGUUUUGCUGUCACUUAUAGAUGGAUCCGCGCUGCAUUAGCUAGUUGGUAAGGUAACGGCUUACCAAGGCAACGAUGCGUAGCCGACCUGAGAGGGUGAUCGGCCACACUGGAACUGAGACACGGUCCAGACUCCUACGGGAGGCAGCAGUAGGGAAUCUUCCGCAAUGGGCGAAAGCCUGACGUAGCAACGCCGCGUGAGUGAUGAAGGUCUUCGGAUCGUAAAACUCUGUUAUUAGGGAAGAACAAAUGUGUAAGUAACUAUGCACGUCUUGACGGUACCUAAUCAGAAAGCCACGGCUAACUACGUG